GUGAAAUUAAUCUCCCCGUGAAGAAGCGGGGAUACUCAUAUAAGACGAGAAGACCCCAUGGAGCUUCAAACCCAACUACACCCCUAGCUCUUAUAGCCCCACAACCCCCCCCUAGGCGCCGUGUGCUUGGUUUUAGGUUGGGGCGACCGCGGAGUACAAUAAAACCUCCACAAUGAAUGGGAACACCCCCUUAUCUGAGGGCCACACCCCCUAAGAAUUAGAACACUAACAUAAAAUGAUCCAUUACUUGAUCAAUGAACCAAGUUACCCUGGGGAUAACAGCGCAAUCCAUUUCAAGAGCCCCUAUCGACAAAUGGGUUUACGACCUCGAUGUUGGAUCAGGGUACCCCAGUGGUGCAGCAGCUACUAACGGUUCGUUUGUUCAACGAUUAAAACCCU
rnacentral:rRNA from 1 species